UACGUAGGGCGCAAGCGUUAUCCGGAAUUAUUGGGCGUAAAGAGCUCGUAGGCGGUUUGUCGCGUCUGCCGUGAAAGUCCGGGGCUCAACUCCGGAUCUGCGGUGGGUACGGGCAGACUAGAGUGAUGUAGGGGGAGACUGGAAUUCCAGGUGUAGCGGUGGAAUGCGUAGAUAUCUGGAAGAACACCGGUGGCGAAGGCGGUGGUCUGGGCCAAAACUGACGCUGAGGAGCGAAAGCCAGGGGAGCAAACGGG
rnacentral:rRNA from 1 species